CUUCAACGGAGAGUUUGAUCCUGGCUCAGGAUGAACGCUGGCGGCGUGCUUAACACAU
rnacentral:rRNA from 1 species